rnacentral:lncRNA from 1 species
CCGUGGAGCACGUGGAGCAUGAAUCUUAUGACCCUAUAUCACUUAAUCAGCUACAUACAACACAUGUCGGACUUAGAGGUUUGGGAACUCCAAUGGCUAAUACAACUUUAUUUAAAAAUGAAGCCACUGUUAGUUACAUCUUAAUCCUACUGAUGAUGAAGAUGAGGAUGAUGAUGUAGAGUCCGAUGUCAGUGAUAGUAGAGAG